UAGGGAAUCUUCGGCAAUGGGGGGAACCCUGACCGAGCAACGCCGCGUGAGUGAAGAAGGUUUUCGGAUCGUAAAGCUCUGUUGUUAAGGAAGAACGAGUGUGAGAAUGGAAAGUUCAUACUGUGACGGUACUUAACCAGAAAGGGACGGCUAACUACGUGCCAGCAGCCGCGGUAAUACGUAGGUCCCGAGCGUUGUCCGGAUUUAUUGGGCGUAAAGCGAGCGCAGGCGGUUAGAUAAGUCUGAAGUUAAAGGCAGUGGCUCAACCAUUGUAGGCUUUGGAAACUGUUUAACUUGAGUGCAGAUGGGGAGAGUGGAAUUCCAUGUGUAGCGGUGAAAUGCGUAGAUAUAUGGAGGAACACCGGUGGCGAAAGCGGCUCUCUGGUCUGUAACUGACGCUGAGGCUCGAAAGCGUGGGGAGCGAACAGG
rnacentral:rRNA from 1 species